rnacentral:tRNA from 1 species
GGUAUGGCUGAGUGGCUUAAGGCAUUGGUUUGCUAAAUCGAAAGAAAAGAAGGAUGGGUUCGAAUCCAAUUUCCUCC